rnacentral:siRNA from 1 species
UGAUCCGUUGACGGUUUUGUCCGC